UGGCGGAAGCUCUUCUUGUUGGGACACAUCACGUGGUGACCAGACAGUUCGAAAGUGUCCACCAGUUCAUGAUUGGAAAAUACAAUAAUUUGACAACUACACGAGUGGAACAACAGUUCGAAUUGUGUAUGCUUAGUGUUGAAAGUCGUGAGGGACAUUUGCAACCAGUGGCCAGUCAAGAGGCAGAAUAUGGAAAUAUUGGGGUACACGUGACUGAAAUAGAUGCAUAUCGACCCCAACCUUAUAGGAGGAGUGAACCACCAGUUGAAAUGUAUCUCCCUGUAAGUUAAUUCUACA